rnacentral:rRNA from 1 species
AACGAACGCUGGCGGCAUGCCUAACACAUGCAAGUCGAACGAGACCUUCGGGUCUAGUGGCGCACGGGUGCGUAACGCGUGGGAAUCUGCCCUUGGGUUCGGAAUAACUCAGAGAAAUUUGAGCUAAUACCGGAUGAUGACGUAAGUCCAAAGAUUUAUCGCCCAAGGAUGAGCCCGCGUAAGAUUAGCUUGUUGGUAGGGUAAUGGCCUACCAAGGCGACGAUCUUUAGCUGGUCUGAGAGGAUGAUCAGCCACACUGGGACUGAGACACGGCCCAGACUCCUACGGGAGGCAGCAGUGGGGAAUAUUGGACAAUGGGCGAAAGCCUGAUCCAGCAAUGCCGCGUGAGUGAUGAAGGCCUUAGGGUUGUAAAGCUCUUUUACCAGGGAUGAUAAUGACAGUACCUGGAGAAUAAAGCUCCGGCUAACUCCGUG